UUGACAGGAGAGAGUGCAGGGAAAACUUGGAUGGACCUCGAUGUGAUGUGCACAACAUGGGACUGUCACCCAGGACAGCAGCUGAUAAGCCUGUAGAGGUCUUUGGUCCUCAGAUACAGAGCUGUGAAAGCCUGUCUGCAGAUGAAGAGGUCCCAAUGAAGAGCAGUGGUUCUUAAUCCUGGGGACUCAAAGAGAUACCUUGUAACUGGAGAUCCCUUCAAAAAGAUUGCCAACAGUUACAGUGUAGAGUACUGCCAGAUUGGGUGACCAGGGCCAUCUCGGACUGCCUCCUGGGGAAUUCAGGCGUGUGAAGGCUACCUGUGUCCUGCAUAACUUCAUACGAAUGGACACGAGGACCAGGAGGGGAUCUGCAGCUCGCCGCCGUGUGCCAGAGGAGAAGUCUGCUGCUCUGCAGGAUGUUUCAAGGAUGGUGUCCAACAACGCAGGAAGAGAGGCAAUCUGUGUGCGGGAGAUUUUCACCUCCUACUCCUACUCCUGCUGUUCCCUGGCAACACCAUAGACUACACUAUGCACAACCAAAGGCUCUUCCAUUUACUUAGCUAUGUCAACUGCAGUUAUUCAAUUCCCAGUUUCUUUCCCUUUGAUUUCUGCUUCUCGGGUGAGGGUACUGUUUAGGUAAUGGUGUGAUGUCUGUACAAAAACAAAACAGGCUAUUUGAAGUCACUGUUGGGGUUUGUUUCCUUAUUCCUUGUCAAUCAUUGGCUCAUUGGUGAAAUUAGCAUUUUGACAACAUCUUUAAUUAAAUCGUUCAAAAACCUUUAUUAAUGCAAUUGCAGACAGAAGUUGACAACAGGAACAUAACGCAUGUUUCUGAGUAAGUUCUGCAACAUUUAAAAGGUCCCAAGUUAUUUUAUUAAACCCGAAGUCCAGCCCUUGUGAUGUCACUGUAUACUUCAUUACCUUCUACGCUUCAGACCAAGCCCAUGCAUACACAGCUACAUAAACUUGCAAGAGAGAUACAAUAGUUCCAGUGUUUCUAAGGCCUAGGCAAUAAAUGUCCGCUCCCCAAAGUUGAUUUAUUGUGGAAUGUCUGACUAGUCUCUUAUCUCCUACACUCCCCUGCAGAGUUCUGUCUCAGUCACACAUUUCUCAGAGGGGUCUCUUUAUACGAGGCAGAGUCUAGAAAACAACUCUGGAACAAUACUAAACUUCUAUAAUGAAUAUAUAUAUAUAUUGUUAAUCUGUAGUCUAGGACCCUAUAAAUGUAAGGAGGUCUUAUGACCCCUCCCGUUCUAUUAAUACAACUUAAGCAUAACCAAUUAUUAUAAUACAUUGAACAUUUGGUACAGCCCCUAUUAUGACCCCUAGGUGAACCAAUUUAAUUUCCCCCUUUGAGACUAAUUAGUCUCACAGCUUUAAUCAUAAUAUUCUCCUCUGAAAUCAAAUGGAUUAGGCAAAUCCCCUGGAUCCAUUUGAUCCCAGGGAUGGCCUUCUAAAGGGAGAAACAACUCCUGAGGUUCCUGGAAUGCUACUGAGGGUGGGUGAGUCUGCAUAUACUCCCAUUCCUCUUGAGUCCUGAAAAGAAUCACACAAAUUGAAUAAACAAUGGGAUUAAGAGAUACCUUCAGCACGAUUUGUAUCAGCUUUUCUUAUAACCCAUCCCCUUCUAUUAAUUUCCACAUAAGCAUAAUUAAUUAUUAUAAUACAUCAAACAUUUGGUACAGCCCCUAUCAUGAGCCCUAGGUGAACCCCUUUCAUCACCCAUAUUGAAAAAAUGUAGAACACUUAGACAACUUAUAACCCACACCUACACAGUCAUGUAUCAAUCUGAUUGAUGGAUUGUGUUGUGCAGUAAGCAGGCUCAGGUGUAUAAAUGUGGCUCCUUCCACCUUCAAAGAAUAGGCAAGAGGGCCAACUAUAGAGAAUAUAAGACCCUUAAUUAUUUCUAUAACUAUGCUAUAUUGUUUGUCUUUAUCUGUCUGCAUGUUGUUCCGCAUAAAGUACUCUGCAGCCACUUAGUGUAGACACCAGGUGAGGCCACACACACAUAGAUUCCUGUUGAACAAUGUCUCUUUAACUACCUUUUUUUUCUCAAUAAGUCUCUCUCCUUCACUUCAUCCCUCUCUCCUCUUCUUCCUAAAUCCUCUAGGUGAACCCCUCCCGCAUCUGAACUGGCUACAUAGAGGGCACAGCAUGAUCAGAGCAGGUAUGUUUUGAUGUGAGAGAGGAUGCCAACCCCCAGUCCUGUCAUCGCCACCUUACCCGCUCUUAAGAUAACCUUUGGACUGACUGGGAGCAAAAGGCUGGUUAGGAGACACCACUAGAGACACUAUUAUCUCUAUCGCCACAUCCUCUUUCUUCCUCUGUUU